rnacentral:rRNA from 1 species
UACGUAGGGUGCAAGCGUUGUCCGGAAUUAUUGGGCGUAAAGAGCUCGUAGGCGGUCUGUCGCGUCUGCUGUGAAAACUCAGGGCUUAACCCUGAGCUUGCAGUGGGUACGGGCAGACUAGAGUGCGGUAGGGGAGACUGGAAUUCCUGGUGUAGCGGUGAAAUGCGCAGAUAUCCGGAGGAACACCGGUGGCGAAGGCGGCUUCCUGGACCGACACUGACGCUGAGGCGCGAAAGCUAGGGGAGCAAACAGG